CAAUAUCACAGAUCCGUGGUACUCAAGAGAGGCAACUCUGUGGUGUAACUUCUACUCCAAAGUCCCCUUGCCAGGCUAUCUGUAGAAGAAACAAAUGCCCCUGCACAAGUAGUGAGCUCACCAUCAGCAAAAGUGUUCAAGCUCAACUUGGUUAACCACAUCUCCAGAGUGCUACAACAAAGCUCUGCAACCCAGUGGAGACUGGGAUCAGGUGAGAGAAUCCCUAAGCUUCCUUUCAAAAAUUCCAUGAUUAAGUCUGAGACUUUU
rnacentral:lncRNA from 1 species